rnacentral:hammerhead_ribozyme from 1 species
GCACUACUGAGAAGUCCCAAGAUAGGACGAAACGGCCGUCCAGUGC